GUAGGGAAUAUUGGACAAUGGGGGGAACCCUGAUCCAGCCAUGCUGCGUGGAGGAAGACUGCCCUCUGGGUUGUAAACUCCUUUUAUAUGGGAAGAACCGUCCUCAUUAAUGAGUGACCUGACGGUACCAUAGGAAUAAGCACCGGCUAACUCCGUGCCAGCAGCCGCGGUAAUACGGAGGGUGCAAGCGUUAUCCGGAUUCACUGGGUUUAAAGGGUGCGUAGGCGGAUAAAUAAGUCAGUGGCGAAAUCAACGGGCUUAACCUGUUAACUGCCAUUGAUACUGUGUAUCUUGAAUAUGAGAGAGGUAGGCGGAAUGUUGCAUGUAGCGGUGAAAUGCUUAGAUAUGCUACGGAACACCGAUUGCGAAGGCAGCUUACUAUUUCGUAAUUGACGCUGAGGCACGAAAGCGUGGGUAGCGAACAGGAUUAGAUACCCUAGUAGUCC
rnacentral:rRNA from 1 species